GACGAACGCUUGCGGCGUGCUUAACACAUGCAAGUCGAACGGAAAGGCCCUGCUUUUGUGGGGUGCUCGAGUGGCGAACGGGUGAGUAACACGUGAGUAACCUGCCCUUGACUUUGGGAUAACUUCAGGAAACUGGGGCUAAUACCGGAUAGGAGCUCCUGCUGCAUGGUGGGGGUUGGAAAGUUUCGGCGGUUGGGGAUGGACUCGCGGCUUAUCAGCUUGUUGGUGGGGUAGUGGCUUACCAAGGCUUUGACGGGUAGCCGGCCUGAGAGGGUGACCGGCCACAUUGGGACUGAGAUACGGCCCAGACUCCUACGGGAGGCAGCAGUGGGGAAUAUUGCACAAUGGGCGGAAGCCUGAUGCAGCAACGCCGCGUGCGGGAUGACGGCCUUCGGGUUGUAAACCGCUUUCGCCUGUGACGAAGCGUGAGUGACGGUAAUGGGUAAAGAAGCACCGGCUAACUACGUGCCAGCAGCCGCGGUGAUACGUAGGGUGCGAGCGUUGUCCGGAUUUAUUGGGCGUAAAGGGCUCGUAGGUGGUUGAUCGCGUCGGAAGUGUAAUCUUGGGGCUUAACCCUGAGCGUGCUUUCGAUACGGGUUGACUUGAGGAAGGUAGGGGAGAAUGGAAUUCCUGGUGGAGCGGUGGAAUGCGCAGAUAUCAGGAGGAACACCAGUGGCGAAGGCGGUUCUCUGGGCCUUUCCUGACGCUGAGGAGCGAAAGCGUGGGGAGCGAACAGGCUUAGAUACCCUGGUAGUCCACGCUGUAAACGGUGGGUACUAGGUGUGGGGUCCAUUCCACGGGUUCCGUGCCGUAGCUAACGCUUUAAGUACCCCGCCUGGGGAGUACGGCCGCAAGGCUAAAACUCAAAGGAAUUGACGGGGCCCCGCACAAGCGGCGGAGCAUGCGGAUUAAUUCGAUGCAACGCGUAGAACCUUACCUGGGUUUGACAUGGAUCGGGAGUGCUCAGAGAUGGGUGUGCCUCUUUUGGGGUCGGUUCACAGGUGGUGCAUGGCUGUCGUCAGCUCGUGUCGUGAGAUGUUGGGUUAAGUCCCGCAACGAGCGCAACCCUUGUUCACUGUUGCCAGCACGUUAUGGUGGGGACUCAGUGGAGACCGCCGGGGUCAACUCGGAGGAAGGUGGGGAUGACGUCAAGUCAUCAUGCCCCUUAUGUCCAGGGCUUCACGCAUGCUACAAUGGCUGGUACAGAGAGUGGCGAGCCUGUGAGGGUGAGCGAAUCUCGGAAAGCCGGUCUCAGUUCGGAUUGGGGUCUGCAACUCGACCUCAUGAAGUCGGAGUCGCUAGUAAUCGCAGAUCAGCAACGCUGUGGUGAAUACGUUCCCGGGACU
rnacentral:rRNA from 1 species